CCUACGGGAGGCAGCAGUGAGGAAUAUUGGGCAAUGGAGGCAACUCUGACCCAGCCAUGCCGCGUGCAGGAAGAAUGCCCUAUGGGUUGUAAACUGCUUUUAUUUAGGAAUAAACCCCUUUACGUGUAGAGGGCUGAAUGUACUAAACGAAUAAGCACCGGCUAACUCCGUGCCAGCAGCCGCGGUAAUACGGAGGGUGCAAGCGUUAUCCGGAAUCAUUGGGUUUAAAGGGUCCGCAGGCGGAUGUAUAAGUCAGUGGUGAAAUCCUGCAGCUUAACUGCAGAACUGCCAUUGAUACUGUACAUCUUGAAUUCGGUCGAAGUGGGCGGAAUGUGUAGUGUAGCGGUGAAAUGCAUAGAUAUUACACAGAACACCGAUAGCGAAGGCAGCUCACUAGGCCUGGAUUGACGCUCAGGGACGAAAGCGUGGGGAUCAAACAGGAUUAGAUACCCUGGUAGUCCACGCUGUAAACGAUGAUUACUCGUUUUCGGCGAUAUACAGUCGGAGACUAAGCGAAAGUGAUAAGUAAUCCACCUGGGGAGUACGAUCGCAAGGUUGAAACUCAAAGGAAUUGACGG
rnacentral:rRNA from 2 species